UGGGAUUAAGCUAGUACCUCAGCAGGCUGGGGAGCAGGACCUUUUGUUCGUUUCCUCCGAUCCAUAUAUCACCUUCAGGAGCUGGAUCAGGAUCAAAGCAUGCGAGCCAUUCUUGCAUCGGACAUGAUGUGGCGGCAACCCCGCAUGCUCUGAGAAAGACAUUGGCGCACAUGAGAAAUGCAAGCCGCGCGCAGCUGUAAUUGGGUGAGUUCCUUUUUUUAAGUGUCGUAGCUAAGAUCUGUAUGUCUUUUGCCUUUAGUUUAUCCCUUCACGAGCUCCGCCACCCGUUAUUGAUUUAUUGUGGUGCAUUUCCUUGUGUUUCACACGGGAGUUUAUGCUAUAACAGCUCAGGGCUGCGUGCUGCAUCUUUUAGAUUAUGAUGAGAUACUCCUGGCUGUUGCAUUUGCAUCACGUAGAAUCGAAAGUUUGUUAGAAUAAUCAGGCGCAGAAGACCAUGAAAUUCACGCCAACUUUGUGCUGGGCUGUAGUGGAACAACAGUUUGAGGAUCAGAGUAUAAGAUCCGUGCGCGUUUUUGUUUUUUAUGUGAUGCGAGCGCGUGCAAAAAAAAAAAGAGACAGAUUCAUGUGUGUUGAUUGACUGUCUUGAAAUAAUCCUGUGCAGGUAUGAAACAUGCCGUCCUGUGUAUGCGAUAAUGUUUUUUGAAAAGGCCGUAUGAUAAAUUCUAAGAACAUUGAAAGGAAAUCUUUAAACAGUGUGCGUUUUCACGUGAUUUGUACUUCCACACGAGAUUUCGCGCUUGCAAGGGUACC
rnacentral:lncRNA from 1 species